rnacentral:rRNA from 1 species
GGGAGUCGCAAGACCUCUUGCUUUAGGAGCGGCCGAUGUCGGAUUAGCUAGUUGGUGAGGUAAAGGCUCACCAAGGCGACGAUCCGUAGCGGGUCUGAGAGGAUGAUCCGCCACACUGGGACUGAGACACGGCCCAGACUCCUACGGGAGGCAGCAGUGGGGAAUUUUGGACAAUGGGCGCAAGCCUGAUCCAGCCAUGCCGCGUGAGUGAAGAAGGCCUUCGGGUUGUAAAGCUCUUUCGGUGGGGAAGAAAUUGCUUCGGUUAAUACCUGGAGUAGAUGACGGUACCCGCAUAAGAAGCACCGGCUAACUACGUG